CCCCCCCAGCUGGAACCAAGAAGGUUGUGUCCCCCUUCCUCUGGGUGUCCUUGUCUCCUGCUAUCAGGGCUUCCCCUUUCUUGGUCAUCGAUCCCUAGAGCUCUGGCUCUUUCUCUUCUUGGGGUGAGAAACUGCUAAGAACAGUUUAUUUCCCAUGCAUGCAUCUGGGCUUGCCACUGAUCUGCCUUUUCCCCCCUCCUCCCCAGGUUAGGGACACCUGGGUCCAACCUUCCCAAGGAAUAUGGGGAUGGGGGUUGGAGAUGAAGUUUAGUGCUAGACUGUAAGGUAGGUGGGGUGGAAGUACAUGAGGGAAAGGGCUAAAAUGGUACUAAUGGUGUUAAGGAUAGGGUGAAUUAUUUAAGAGGAAAAAGACUAGGCCCAGGUUCUCCUUAGCCAUGUGGCUUUCCCAGGGCAGAGGGUGGCCCCUCCCUACCCAGGGGCCCAGCAGAGACUGACUUUUGAUCCCUACCCCAGAGACCAGUGAACCAUUAACUCCUCUCUUAUGUGAGCCUUCACACACUGGCCCCACCCCUGACCCCGCCCCA
rnacentral:lncRNA from 1 species